CAUCCACUUCACCGUACCCUCCACGAUUGGUCCCCGACUUAUAAAACUCGGAGAAAGCAGAGUACUGAGUCAGGAGGUGACCCAGCUCCCGCGUUGGAUGUAAACAGAGAAGUGGACAUGAUAAAUCUCAAGUUUGCAGAAGCAAGAGAGGAGAUACAGAUGGCAAUGGAGUCAAAAGAGACUGUGUAUUUCAAUGAAGAGGCAGAGUGUGCACGGACUGCGGUGAAAGAAGUGCUGGACAUGUUUGAGGG
rnacentral:misc_RNA from 1 species